UGGUGGUAGGAAGAUGAUUGCAGGAAGGAGUUCUGUAGUCACUCCCUAGAGAGCGUAGAAGAUACCUUUGAGGAGCAGUGAGUGGCAUUGGGGGUUCUCUGUUUGCCAUUCCCUUCCAGUUCCCUGAUUUUUCCCCCCCUCUUUGACCUUCAAUCCUGUCCCAGUUUUUUCAUUUACUGUACCUAGUAUUUACAUGUAUCCUUCGUUCAUUGACUGUUCCCCCUCAGUUGAGCAGGCAGCAACAUCUCCCAACAACCACAAUAGGUAGAGAGAAGGGGAAUCAGCUAGGUAGUAGGAGGAGAGUAAGCCCUGGAAUCCUGGCUUGGACUACAGAUCCUGGCAAGAACCUGAGAAGGUGUGAAGUAGCCACAGGGAGCACAGAAAGCUCCAGUGAUAGCCCACAGGGGGACACACAAGACAGGGAAAAAAGAUAGCAAAUAAUCCAGAGAAACAGCAACAGGAUUGGAGCUUGAGCACACCAUGGUUGCUUGGCAUGCAGUCCUUGGGCUGCAACCCAGAGUAGUGGGUGGGCCCAGUGGCUGAUAGGGGGACCUGGGAAAGAGGCACAGACUUGGCGGUGGAUCAGAAGACUGCCUGAGACAGUAUGUCCAAAGGGAUAUGGUUACCCCGGAAGGCGAGGACUAUAAUGAGCUGGCCAGAGAUGGGUCAUGAAGAGGGAGCAUCCUGAGUCCAGCAAGAAACCAUGGGUGAGCAACCAAAGGAGGGGACACCAGACCAGGUGCGAGGUGAUCCCCAGAUGCAAGGAGGUGCCCCAGUGAUUUUAGGUUCUGAAUUUAGGACACAGUGUUAAAUGCUUUCCUCCCAGAGAGGAACCUGUGGGCUGCAAGAGUGCUUUAAAACCCUGUGUUAAAGGCUGAGUGGAAAAUCUCUGAUGGAUUCUCAAUGCUACUAUUGGUUCCUGGUCUGCAAAUGUGACUUGUGGUCUCUCUCUUGCAAGCGAGGCGUGGCCCCCCUCAGAGGCGGACGCGGAGGGAGCACCACAAGCCUCCUGGUGGGUGGAACUGGGAGGGCCACGUCCAGCAUGCUGAAAACAGAGGGGCAGGACAGGAAGAGGAAAUAUAAAAGACCGGCCCAGCAGCUCAGUUCGAAGGGAGUUGCCAGAGGAGACAGAUGCUUCUUCCCCACCACUGGACUGGAGCGCCAAGGAGAACCGCUGUUGCCCUGGGGAGACUGAGCUUCCAGGGAGCCCUGAUGCUCUUGACGUGGAGGAACUGCUACCGCUACCCUUGGCAGUGUACCUAGAGGAGACUCAGGCCGGCCCCUGGACGCAGUAAACAGAGCAAAACUAAGAGUCGCUUUGUUUUGUGAAGGCUGAUUUAAAGAAGAAAUUCUUCAACUCUUCUCUACCCUGAAAAAAUAUAUGCUGCCUGGAGAACUAGUGAAAUUAUGCCCUCACAAGACUCUGAGACCAAAAGCUGAGAAAUGGAGAGAAAAGUAGAACUGCUCAAAAUAUGGAAUUUCCGUUGCAUGGAAAAUUGAGAGAUUUUUAAAAUUUAGAUUUGUCCUAAAUCAGGACAAAAUGUCAAUCUCAGAAUUUUUCACAUGAUUAAAUGUUACAGAUUUUUUUUACCUUAUUGAAACAUUUUUGACCAGCUAUAAGGAAAAGUUUUAGUCUUUAAAACUCUAACAUAAGAGGAGCCCGAAGGGGUUAAAGGACAGUACUGGGCCCAGGUAUCUCCGCCCCUCCAGACCUAAAAAGCAUGCUCCAACAGAAGAAAGGUUUGAAAAGGGAGUAACUCAGCUCAGAAGAGGAAAGGCUCCAGAGGGAGGACAGACAUACCCUGAAGGUUCCUGACUAGGACAUCCGGGAAGCCUCCUUGAGGUAAUAAGACUAUGCUGGGGCCAGUUGGGCCUAGUGGCUUGGUUUCCUUUUCUUUUUCUUUUUUACUUGUAGUGGACUGAAGUCAGGGGGAGAAAAGCAGGCUUUAGGAAGUGACCCAGGGAAGGUACCUUCUGGGAGCCAAAAACUGUUGACCCUCUUAGGAUCCUGGGACAGAGCCUAGUGGAGUGGCUCCCAUACCAACUGUCCCUACUCAUCUCACUGCACCUCUGAUUAAAAGAGGGACUGGACUGCAAGACUUACCCACAGGGAGGUGGCACUAAGGAUGUUAACCCCUAGGCCAUGUGACCCACCAAGGACUCUGUUACAAGGGGCCUUCAGUGGAGGACUUUACUGUAGCCAAGUUCCCCUCUGAGGCAGCUAAAAGGACCUGUGAAUACAUUGUGUAGGCUUCUCUACAGGCAAAUCAGCAUCAAACAGCGAAGGUGAUGUCAUGGAACUGUUGAGAGUUCUAAAAACAAAUAAGAUACCUGGAUGAAUUGCACAGAGAAUUAUGUUGAAGGCUCCAAAAGUAGCUGUACAAGACAGUGUUAACGUCAUGGGAAGAACAUUCUUUUACUUUCCACAUCGGUAUAGAUCAUAUCUGUAUAAUAUAAUUGGCAUACUUCAGUUAGACAUAAAUGCUAUAUUAGCUGUUGGGGAAAAUCUAAAUGUUUAGCCUAGGGUCAAAAAGUGACUUGGUGCACAAAGUGGAGUGGGUGAGGAUGGGCAUUGAAUGGGGGAACCUGCUAUCGCAGACCUUCCACUUCCCUAGACUGUCAGUCUGCUCAAGGCUAGACAAAAGGGGCAAGGAGACGGCUGGGUCAUGCUGCAUGCUCCUUAUCUCCAACUCUGCACCAGCCAGCAUAGCUGGGUGGCUGUGGAGAAAAGCAUAUGCUGCAUCCUCUUAAGGGGGCAGAAAUAAGUGCAUUUCCCAGGAGGUCUGGGAGGCACUGCUUACCAUUCUUCCCACCGCUCGUCCUCUUCCAAGCUGUGUCUUAAUGACGUAGUCUGGUCUCCUUUACAGUACACUAAAAUCUAUUUCUGUAUAUGCCCUAAGCAUCUCCUACUGGUUACACUGUGUAUGGAAGCUAAUGGCGGCAAGGUCAUCUCCACUGAUACAGUAUGUGUUCAGAAGACAUAGGUAUACCACAAAUAGCAACAAACAUGCAUUGUCUCUCUCUCUCUUUUUUUUUUUUUAAUUAUUUUUCUCAUUCUCUGAUUGUGAAGAAAAUAUUAACCAGGGAAGUUACUAUUUCAGCUAGUUUUCACCAGACUUUAAAGAAAGAGAAAAUCAGUGUUUAGCCACCGCAAACACACUGCUACUUACUAGCCAAUAUGGCACCUUGGGAUUGUUCUGGAUGAAAGGCGUGAUGUAAGAAUGAAGUAUUAGCAGCAUCAUGAUUUUAUAUGCCUGUAAGUACAUUUCCUGGUGGUCUGGGUAGCCUGCGUGUUAUGCCGGGACAGCUGCUGCCAUUUAACAAUUCCUGUUCGGUGAACAACGUGUAGCAGUAAAAAGCCAUGGAGCAACUAUGAAAGCAAUUGUAACAUACAUGCAACUGAGACUUGCCUACAGACUCUCUUACUGUAUAGUACAUGCAACUAAGA